UACGUAGGUGGCAAGCGUUGUCCGGAUUUACUGGGCGUAAAGAAUGCGUAGGCGGACAUUUAAGUCAGAUGUGAAAUACCCGGGCUCAACUUGGGUGCUGCAUUUGAAGCUGGAUGUCUAGAGUGCGGGAGAGGAAAGUGGAAUUCCCGGUGUAGCGGUGGAAUGCGCAGAUAUCGGGAGGAACACCCGUAGCGAAGGCGGUUCUCUGGGCCAAUACUGACGCUGAGGAACGAAAGCGUGGGGAGCAAACAGG
rnacentral:rRNA from 1 species